rnacentral:pre_miRNA from 1 species
AAGGCUCACAGCUAAGGUGGGUGGAGUAGUAUAACGAUGGUAGUCCCCAACUCAACUGUUGUUAUGGUAUUCCACCUACCCUGGUGUGCCUU